CCCCUGAACCAGGCAGGCACCCCUCAAUUCUGUAUUUUCAUCUUGAUUUCUCCAUUCAUGAGCUUCAUGUACUCAGACAACAACUUCAUUUCUCUGCUCCUUGGACUUCUACUGUUUCAGGAGGAGUAAUAUGCCAUUGGAGGGGGAGAUCAUCUGCUGAUAUGUUUCAAGGCUCCUGCCUCAGCUCCAAGGGGACACUGAAGAAUUAACUCCAUGCAGUCCACAAGCAUCUCCGGGGAGAAGAUGAAGGAAUAAAAGCACCGGGAAUAAUUCAUCCUUGGAAUACUAAUACCAGGAUAAUAGCUGAGAGAUGGAUUGCGUGCAUCAAUCGGGGAAUAUUUGAAUGAGCGUAAAGAAAGCAGUGAAAAGUACAUACCAGACUGUUAUUCUGCUAAUAUCAGGACCCUGGUGUUUUGGGAAAGUGCAGGAUGGCAGUGUUGGGGAGUGAGGUGGGUAGGGGUAGGAAUACUCCGUCUGGUUUUGGUUUUGGUUUUGGAUUUACC